AGUACAGAGAAGACAUUGCUGGAACUGGCAGCAGAUGAGAAUACCCCGCAUAGAUCACAUGACCACAUUAAUAAGGAUGGGUGAGGAACAGCAUCACAUGAGCGAGAAGAUACUAAACCUCACCCUGGAGAUCAUCUACCUUCUGACCGGAGAGAGUUUGCCUCAUCUGAAAUCAGGUGAUCAUAUGACCAUCACAGUGCCUCCAUGUGACUCCCUAAAACUUGAGAGACACAACAUACAGAAGAUUCUA